UAAAAAAAAACAGCGUUUAACUGAUGAAAUGCCAACAGACUUGUCUACUAACUAUUACCAAAGGAAAAGAUUCUAUCGAUUUUUUCUUGGUAAGCCAGUGGCUCGAAGCAAAUAAAAGGUGUGCGAAGUUUACUGACCACAGAAUUUCAUCCAUAAAGUAGUUACCUGCGCAAUUUACCGACCAACGUUGUCGAUGGAAGCAUCAAUCAGUGAAGAUAUUAAGAUGCCGACAGAAUUACCGUUGGAUUUUUUGUUGAUAAUGCCUUUGUUCAUGUGAGAUAUGUUAACGAUACAUUUACUGACUAAAUUUUCAUUGGUAGUUUCAGUGUUUACAUAUCGACUGAAUUUUCGUUGGUUAUUUCAUCAGUAUUGUUAUUUUAUAUUACCGAUAAAAAUUUUCAUCGAUAAAUUCGUCUGUAAUUCAAAUAUUAAAUCCUGAUUGGGAUUUCCUCCCACUUUCCCCUUUCUCUUUCACUCUUGUCUCUCACGACCCUUUCUCAUCUGAGCUACCUUUGCCUAGUUGUCCUUGACCGGCUGCCGUCUUGUCCAACUGAAGAGUCCCUAAAGUCAACUACUUCCAACCCACCCCCCAUUGGCGGCCCGUUUUGCUUCUGUCGUUUGGCCAGCCAUCUUUCCUCUCCCAUUCAACCAUCUUUCCUCUCCCGUUCGACCCUCCAUCCCCCGAUAGCCCAAGUAAGGUUGCUAGUGAUGAGUGAUAUGCGACUAAGCUUCAAACAAGGAUUCAUUGCUGUUUUUGGUCCAAAUAUGCAAUCAUAUUCCCUUCUUGGCUGCUGCGGAAGGUUUGUUGCCUUGGAUAUAAUAUAUGUUGUGGGAUUUUUAUGAAAUUUGAAGUCAUUAAAAUUCUACAUUUCAAGUCUACAAAUCUCCAAUUUUGGGUA